CCAAUAGCGUAUAUUAAAGUUGUUGCAGUUAAAAAGCUCGUAGUUGAAUUUCGGGAUCAAUAUGUUUGGUCGUGCCUCGGUACGUACUAGCUUAUUGGUUUCUCCUUUCUGAAGAACCAUGAUGUCAUUCAUUUGGUGUCGUGGGGAAUCAGGACUGUUACUUUGAAAAAAUUAGAGUGUUUAAAGCAGGCUCACGCUUGAAUACAUUAGCAUGGAAUAAUGAAAUAGGACGUUUGAUUCUAUUUUGUUGGUUUCUAGGAUCGACGUAAUGAUUAAUGGGGAUAGUUGGGGGCAUUAGUAUUCAAUUGUCAGAGGUGAAAUUCUUGGAUUUAUUGAAGACUAACUACUGCGAAAGCAUUUGCCAAGGAUGUUUUCAUUAAUCAAGAACGAAAGUUAGGGGAUCGAAGACGAUCAGAUACCGUCGUAGUCUUAACCAUAAACUAUGCCGACUAGGGAUCGGAUGAUGUUAAUUUUUUAAUGACUCAUUCGGCGCCUUACG
rnacentral:rRNA from 1 species